GAUGAACGCUGGCGGCGUGCCUAAUACAUGCAAGUCGAGCGAACGGACGAGAAGCUUGCUUCUCUGAUGUUAGCGGCGGACGGGUGAGUAACACGUGGAUAACCUACCUAUAAGACUGGGAUAACUUCGGGAAACCGGAGCUAAUACCGGAUAAUAUUUUGAACCGCAUGGUUCAAAAGUGAAAGACGGUCUUGCUGUCACUUAUAGAUGGAUCCGCGCUGCAUUAGCUAGUUGGUAAGGUAACGGCUUACCAAGGCAACGAUGCAUAGCCGACCUGAGAGGGUGAUCGGCCACACUGGAACUGAGACACGGUCCAGACUCCUACGGGAGGCAGCAGUAGGGAAUCUUCCGCAAUGGGCGAAAGCCUGACGGAGCAACGCCGCGUGAGUGAUGAAGGUCUUCGGAUCGUAAAACUCUGUUAUUAGGGAAGAACAUAUGUGUAAGUAACUGUGCACAUCUUGACGGUACCUAAUCAGAAAGCCACGGCUAACUACGUGCCAGCAGCCGCGGUAAUACGUAGGUGGCAAGCGUUAUCCGGAAUUAUUGGGCGUAAAGCGCGCGUAGGCGGUUUUUUAAGUCUGAUGUGAAAGCCCACGGCUCAACCGUGGAGGGUCAUUGGAAACUGGAAAACUUGAGUGCAGAAGAGGAAAGUGGAAUUCCAUGUGUAGCGGUGAAAUGCGCAGAGAUAUGGAGGAACACCAGUGGCGAAGGCGACUUUCUGGUCUGUAACUGACGCUGAUGUGCGAAAGCGUGGGGAUCAAACAGGAUUAGAUACCC
rnacentral:rRNA from 1 species